rnacentral:pre_miRNA from 1 species
UGACCACUUUUAUUUGGUAAUACAACUAUUGCCAAGACAAUGCUUCAUUAUAAGUGCAUAACUUUUCACUUUAUUGUUUGAGCAUUGUGUUGAUUUCUCUAACUUAUUUUUCUUUGAACAAAAUUGUUUUUUCAUCGCGAAAUGCAACACCAUGCUCAGAAGUUAGAGAGUGAAAUGCUAUGCAUUUGUAAUUAUAUAUUUUCUUGGCUAGAGUUGUAUUGCCAAGUCAAGUGUUUUAAUUG